AGUCUGGAAAAGGGGGAAGGCACCAGGGAGCGGCCGCUGAUACUGACAUGAAAUAUGUUCCUAUUAUAAAUGGUUUAGAGCAGGGGGUGACCAUUCAUUCUGAGAGAGCUGAAGAGAAACUCUGCUCCUGGGAGAAAGGUGGGAGCAUCUCCGUUUUAAGGAGCUGAAUGAGAACCUAGAGAUGGAAAAGCAAAGCUCGAGAGGAGGAAAGGUCCCUGCUCAACGCCACGCUGCAGACUGGUGGCUGACUGCACUAUCCUGUGCCUGCCACUCUCUUGCUCUUCCCUCGACAUUGCAAUGAGUACAGGGAGGUGGCCUCUCAACCCUGGGUCAGCUGCUCCUGGGAGCCAGGGGUUGGAGAGGGGACCCAAAAGGAUGCUUGUGCCCUCUGUGGGUAGUGGAUGCUUCCUGCCCCUUCCCUUCCCUUCGGUUGCUCCAAAAGGAGUAGGUUUUGCUACCUUUUCCUUGGGGGUCUCCAAGGAUAUGAGAAUAUAGUUACUGGCUUCUGUACAUUUUCA